UACGGAGGGUGCAAGCGUUAUCCGGAUUCACUGGGUUUAAAGGGUGCGUAGGCGGGCAUUUAAGUCAGUGGUGAAAUACCUGAGCUUAACUUGGGAACUGCCAUUGAUACUAUUUGUCUUGAAUGUCGUGGAGGUUAGCGGAAUAUGUCAUGUAGCGGCGAAAUGCUUAGAUAUGACAUAGAACACCUAUUGCGAAGGCGGCUAACUACGCGAAUAUUGACGCUGAGGCACGAAAGCGUGGGGAUCAAACAGG
rnacentral:rRNA from 1 species